rnacentral:rRNA from 1 species
UACGAAGGGGGCUAGCGUUGUUCGGAAUUACUGGGCGUAAAGCGCACGUAGGCGGACUACUAAGUCAGGGGUGAAAUCCCGGGGCUCAACCCCGGAACUGCCUUUGAUACUGGUAGUCUCGAGUCCGGAAGAGGUGAGUGGAAUUCCGAGUGUAGAGGUGAAAUUCGUAGAUAUUCGCAAGAACACCAGUGGCGAAGGCGGCUCACUGGCCCGGUACUGACGCUGAGGCACGAAAGCGUGGGGAGCAAACAGG